rnacentral:misc_RNA from 1 species
ACAUGUUCUGCAGCACAACGCCUAAGAACAAAACACACAAGCCAUGUUUCGUUCUUUUAUCUAUUCAAGAUUAAUAUUACAAUACACAUUCACUCACACGCAUAGAUAGACCUUGAUUAUUUUUCAGAUGCUUUCAAAGCCUCACAUAAUAAGACAUCAGAACAUGUAUAUGUAUGCCCUUGCUACUCAACAUCUUUUUCUCUGACCAUUUCCAAGGGGAAAUGAGGAGAUCUCGCAGGGCAAAACACAACCCUGUAGUUUGUCCCGCCAGGGCAUGUAAAUGUGCUUGAAGGAUCAUCCUGAGGGUAACUAUAAGCAUCACUGCAUCUGCUUUUGAAAAACUUUGAGAAUUCGGUAGGUCCACAG